rnacentral:rRNA from 1 species
UUCGCCCUUUUCCGGUUGAUCCUGCCGGACCUUACUGCUAUCGGGAUGAGAUUAAGCCAUGCAAGUCGUGCGUUCUUAAGCUAUGUUGAGAGCGCGGCGAACUGCUCCGUAACACGUAGUUAACCUAACCUCGGGAUGGGGAUAACCCCGGGAAACUGGGAUUAAUACCCAAUAGAUGAUUAUGCCUGGAAUGGUUUAUCAUCAAAAGAGUCUGGAAACAUGCUUCCAGCGUCGCCCGAGGAUGGGACUGCGUCCGAUCAGGUUGUUGGUGGGGUAACGGCUCACCAAGCCUAUAACCGGUACGGGCCCUGAGAGGGGGAGCCCGGAGAUGGAAACUGAGAAAAGGUUCCAGGCCCUACGGGGUGCAGCAGGCGCGAAACCUCCACAAUGCGCGAAAGCGUGAUGGGGUUAUCCCGAGUGCCGUCCGAUGAGGAUGGCUUUUCAUCGGUGUAAGGAUCCGAUGGAAUAAAGGGGGGGCAAGACUGGUGUCAGCCGCCGCGGUAAUACCAGCCCCCUGAGUGGUAGGGACGAUUAUUUGGCCUAAAGCGUUCGUAGCCGGCUUAUCAAGUCUUUUGUUAAAUCCAACGAUUCAAUCGUUGGGCUGCAAAAGAUACUGUUAUGCUAGAGGACGGGAGAGGUCGACGGUAGUCCAGGGGUAGGGGUGAAAUCCUAUAAUCCUUGGAGGACCACCAGUGGCGAAGGCGGUCGACUAGAACGUGCCUGACGGUGAGGGACGAAAGCUGGGGUAGCGAACCGGAUUAGAUACCCGGGUAGUCCCAGCCGUAAACGAUGCGGGCUAGGUGUUGGGGC